rnacentral:misc_RNA from 1 species
CUGGACCAUGCUAACAGGAUGCUCAACUUUUACGCUCCAGUUUCCUGUUUCUCUAUGAACCCUAACCCCCCCAAUCUCGGCGGAGAUCAAGUGCACCCCCUCGCCCCUCCCCUGCAUCCAUUUUUCGCCCUACUGGUGCAUACAAGAAUUUGCAAUGGCAUCCAAGACAAUGUUCAUUUCAUUUCAACCCCACCAUUACUCCUUUCCUACCAUAAAGAACCAUGCACCAUCUAUUGGGACUGCUAUACCCAAAAGGUGGAUCAAUGCCAACAUAUUGUUGAACAAAGGUCAUUCUGCACUUUGGAAGAUAGUAAUCUAAUCGUAGAUUUCAUGGUAGGUUACUGGUUGCACUUGUUUGUGAAUACUUGGAGUGACCACAACUAAGUCACACAAUGAAACUUUAAGUGUAACCUGGUGACCGGUGACCAUUCAUAAUAUUUCAUUUUUACAUUUUGGAUAUCAAUAUCCAUUAAUAUGUAUCCCUAUUUUGUUUGUAUAUCAGCUGAACUUCUGAUAGAAUGAACUGAAAGACUUCUCUAACAAAAGUGGAGCUGAGGGGAGCAAGAGUGCUGAAAGCCUGAAAGUGGUCCAAUGUUUUUAGAUGUUCUCGAAUGUUAUCUGAAAUAUGAGGUUUAUCUCUUGCUUGAUCAACAAUAGAAGCAAACAAUCAUCCUUUUGUUUAUUUAUGUUUCCCAAUAUAAAGGAAAAAGGGGAAAUAUUUUGGUGCAGUGUGCCCAAUUCUUUUGUCCCUAGAAAACUGUGUAGUCGCCUAUAGCAGGCACUAUAGUCAGUUUUAGCUAUUUUAGACACCACUACUAUUUGUACACACAUUUCUAUUAGCCUAUUUUAGCCUGCUAUAUCCAUGUAUGGGCCUUAUGGGAACUCUGCAAUUACUAUGGAUCCUCUUAUACAUUAUGUUCGACAUAGAGACAAGGUAGUAUAUUGAGUUGGACCAAUAAUCCUUCAUAUUUAUUUAUGUGAAUUAUGUUGUACUGGUGUCCUGUCCUUUUGUUUGUGCUUUAUAAUUUGUAAUUCCUAGCUGCUGAUAUGGUCUGAUGGAUGGGAGGUGGCUGAAAUCGUUCAGAUAAGUGCCAAUUUGUUGUUUUCUUUUUUAAUGAAUGGUUUUCUAUUUCAGCUGAUGAACCUUUUAUAGUUCUUUUAUUAUAUGCUGCCACUGAUUGCUAAUAGGGUGCAUGUCUUCUAUUUCUAGGUAUGGUGCAUAAAAAAGUAGGAACCACAAUGAGAUUGUGAUGCUGCACAUGGCACAUCAAGGUGCGCAAGAUAUGUACCGUAGAAAUUAUCGUAAAGUGCACACAGCUGUAUGUAUAGAUGUUUAGAAGUGGCCGAAGUUAGGCUUGCUCAACCGGGGCAAUGAUUUACUUAGCCUGCUGAAAUGUACUAUAGGUAGCAUUCAAGUUUGUGACCAUCAUGCAAGUACAUGUGGGUUUGUUGAAAUUGAGUGGUCAUCGGAGAUGUAGCAAAAUGUUCCCUAUCGAGAGCUCGUGUACUAUAUUUGUUUUAUGAACUUAAUUUUUAUUACAACAUAAUAUGUGGUCAUACAUAUGUUAUUGCUA